AGUCCCGUAGCUCAGUUGGUUAGAGCACCACACUGAUAAUGUGGGGGUCUGCGGUUCAAAUCCGCACGGGACUA
rnacentral:tRNA from 1 species